rnacentral:misc_RNA from 1 species
UUUGGGAGCAGUGUGGUUGGGACUGAAGAUUUUUCUGUGGAAUAUGACUAUUUAGUUAUUGCAGUGGGAGCCCAAGUAAACACUUUCAACACCCCUGGUGUCAUGGAGAACUGCCAUUUUCUUAAGGACUUGGAAGAUGCUCAGAAGCUCCGAAGGAGUGUGAUUGAUUGUUUUGAAAAGGCUGCUCUUCCUAAUCUAACUGAAGAAGAGCGUAGAAUAAACCUUCAUUUUGUAGUUGUUGGAGGAGGUCCUACUGGUGUGGAGUUUGCUGCAGAGCUGCAUGACUUUCUGCAAGAAGAUUUAGUCAAUAUUUAUCCAAUGGUUAAAGAUCUAGUGAAAAUAACUGUGAUCCAAUCUGGAGAUCACAUUUUGAACAUGUUUGAUGAGAGAAUCAGUUCGUUUGCUGAACAGAAGUUUCAAAGGGAUGGUAUUGAAGUUAAAACAGGAUGCCGAGUUCUUAGUGUUUCUGAUAAAGAAAUCACCAUGAAGGUGAAAUCCAAGGGAGAAGUUUGCUCUAUACCACAUGGAUUGGUUGUAUGGUCUACCGGACUUAACACUCGCCCAGUUGUGAGGGAUUUCAUAGAGCAAAUUGGGCAGGCCAAUAGACGUGCUCUUGCAACUAAUGAAUGGCUGCGAGUAAAGGGAUGCGAAAAUGUAUAUGCACUUGGAGAUUGUGCUACAAUAGAUCAACGAAAGGUCAUGGAAGAUAUUGGGGCCAUUUUUAAAGCUGCAGACAAAGACAACUCUGGUACCUUGACUGUUCAAGAAUUUCGAGACAUAAUAGAUGACAUCCUCAUAAGGUACCCUCAAGUGGGACUGUAUUUAAGAAACAAGCAUCUGAUAGAUGUUGCAGAUUUGCUGAAAGAUCCUGAGGGGAAUGACAGAAAGGAAGUGGAUAUUGAAGGGCUUAAGCAAGCCCUUUCCCAUGUGGAUUCACUGACGAAAAGCUUGCCUGCAACUGCACAGGUUGCUGCUCAACAAGGUACAUAUCUUUCUAGGUGCUUCAACCGUAUGGAGGAAUGCAAAGAUAAUCCUGAAGGCCCUCGACGUUUUAGAGGUUCUGGGCGUCACCAUUUCCGUCCCUUCGAGUACAAACAUUUUGGACAAUUUGCCCCUUUGGGAGGCGAGCAGGCUGCUGCAGAACUGCCUGGAGAUUGGGUUUCCAUGGGUCAUAGCACUCAGUGGCUCUGGUAUUCUGUAUAUGCAAGCAAGCAAGUUAGCUGGCGCACAAGGGUGUUGGUGGUCUCUGAUUGGACUCGGAGAUUUAUUUUUGGAAGAGAUUCAAGCCGUAUUUGAGGCAUCAAAUUGGUGACUCUUGUAAAUGUCUCAAGUUACACUAGUUUUUGCUAAUCAAUUGCAUGGUUAGCACCUAUUGGGAAUAUAUAUCUCUAUCAUGUAUGAUUUUUAUCUUAUUUUUUUCCUUGUAAAUUCAGAGAAUACACUUUAAAAAAAAAAAAAAAAAAAANUGUUGAUAUGGCUUUCCAAUUUACUAGCUGAUUUAUGAAUGAGCAAGAAACUAGUGUAACU